GGGAGAGCGAAGCUGACUGAUGCAAUGAAGAUUGCUUUUGGCUCAACUGAUUUCUAAUCACUUACAGUCGGCAACUCAGCAAUGUGACCUACAGGGAGGGAAUGUUGGAGAAAAGCUCAGUUGCUCAAGAUUUUCCGAUUGGGAAGGCUGUAUAUUUUUCUGCAAGAUUUUGUGCCAUCAUCAUCUUCUUUCUCUGGAUGGAACAAAGGUCGAAUUACCUGCCAGUGUUCCCAGCUCAAGAGCACCAAUGCAGGCACAGAAUCAAUUUCAGAUGGGACUCCAAAGGAUGAACAUCAAAUGCCGAUGAGAGUAGUGACCACAACAAGACCAAUUCCGGAACAAGAACUCAGCUUAUGACAAGCACAAUUUAAGUUGAUGAUGGUCUAUAAAUCCGUUCAUCAGCUUUCAGGGCUCGGAAAAUCUUCGACCCCCUCCUUCAGUUAAAAGACCCUUGAUUUGGACUGUACUUUUUUAAUUUUUUUUCUUUUUUAAAAAAUUGUUUUUAGUAUUCCUUGAUAUGUUAUCUCGAUGUGUCCACACGUGAAAACCGACAUGUACUGUCAGCAGAUGUCGGCAUCAACCAGCAGCUGCGCGUGUCCACACGUGGAAAUCGGCAUAUGCUGUCUUCUGAGGUCAAUAUCCACCAGCAGCUGCAUUGGUGUGGUAAAUUAGGGAGUGGGACCUAAGGUUUGUAGCUUCGAGAGGAGGGAGAGCUCGGAUGGUGAAAAGGAUUGUAGCCAUGCAGCUGUAAAUAAGUUCUUCACACG